CGCAAACAAGAAAACGUAAUAUGAGAUUUUCAGUGGCUAACUUUGCACCGCAACGAGAUUAUCCUAUAACACGAAUGCAAGCAAAGAUAUUAAAUGCAUAGCAUGUGAUUUUAUCGGUAAGAACGGCGUACAGUUACUAUUAAACGCCAGAGAUUCAAGGUAAAGUACCGUUUACAUAAAGUGCUGAAAGUUACUGCUAUCGACGAACGACCAAUCAGAUCUCUUCAAUAUUUACGAUAAAUUUUCAGCUAUCGUGGUAGUGGUGUGGGUGGAGGUGGUGGUGUUAGGAGAAGAGGCCGAGUGUAUUGUUUUUCGAAUGAUUUCGAAUAUUAUUCACGAUAAUUAUUCAUACAGAAUUAAUGUUAUACAAGUUGUGUCGUCUUUACACGUAUAUUACAAUGUUUUAUAAAUUGAUCGUUUACAAAAGAGCCGUGAUAAACGCGGGGCUAGUUACGAACGCAUUAAACAUUUCUCUAUCUCUCGGUUGGAUGUUUCAUUCGAUGUUUAUUUAUCCUACGAAAUAUAACUCGUAUCCAUAUUUCCGUAUAAACAAGGAAACUAUUACUGACGUUAUCUCGCUUCUAACAGUUUAUACGUUCAUCCUUUUUUUUCUUCUUCUUCUUCCGUUAUUUAAAUGGAACAUUAAUAACAUUUGAAAUUAAAUUUAGAACACACGGCUAAUGGUAGGAUGGAUAUGAGAUACCGUGAACGAUUCUUGUUGUUAGAAACUUUAUACAUAUUGAGUAUUUAUUCUUAUUCACUAUAUCGGCAAUUAUCUUUUCCUUUCGGAAAUAAAAUAUAAGAGAGAAUCCAUCUCCUUCUUCCUCCUCCUACUCCUCCUUGUUGAGAAGGGGACGGAUGGUGUGCAAAAAAAAUUCUAUUUAUAAAUUUGACGAUUGAUCUAAGAUGUAUGUAUUUCGAACAACAAUCUAUAUAGCGAUCGAUAAAUGUUAUUUGUCAUCGAAGACACGCGGUAUAAAAAAGUUCUCGAAACGAUUUGUGACGAAUGUAACUUGUAACAAAGUUUUUAGUAGUAGAAGGUCACAAACAAGUCGAUCAGCUGUUUCGCUGUCAUUAGAAAUGCCAAUGUUACGACGCCACCUAACGCCGGGAGGCACGAAGCUGUUAAACGGGCGCGACCUUGUUUUUAUUCCUUGCUUUUCAUCUCGCAAACGCGCGUAAAAUAAGGACGAUAAUAAUCAUUUCUUAAGCUCAUAAAAUAAUAAAAAAAAUAAUCAAUUUACGAGAAACACCUUUAUGAGAAACAAGUUUACGGGGAAUUCGUUAAUAUUGUUUCUUUUCUUCGUCGUUAUCGCGCGCGACUAAUGAAAAAAAUAUAAUUAUUCUUCGUUUGACGUAUUUAAAAUGACCGCCUCCAAAUUCGCCCCUCCCCUCCCCCUUCCAACCACUUCUCUAACCAAUUAUUAUUCGAGAUAUAUAAAACAAGAAAUGGACAAAUUUAAAUACGUUUUAAAACAAGUUAAGAAAAUAAUCGUGAAAAUAAUAUUUUUCGAGAUCGAUAAAGAGAAUUUCGGCUAAAGUAUAUUUAUUAAAAGUGCGUCGACUGUCAAGGCUAGUCACGUGUUCCCGCUUUCUGAUUCGCAGAGAAACAAAGAAGACGAAAGAUGCAGUAUGUGUAUGUAUGCAUACGUGCGUGCAUGCGUGCGUCCGAAAGGUAAACGAAGAAAAGACACUCCCGAAGGAAAAGAGACAAAUCAAUCAAAUCAAAUCACAAAAUCGGUGAUCUUCUUCGCGUUUUCUACCUCGUCCGAUAGUCGCGUGUUACCUAGUAUCGAGAAAGGUUUACGGAUAUACGCCAAUGGAAUGCCGUAAAUUUACGGGUAAAAGGGACAAAAGCGGGAAAUUCAAAUUUAUACAUUCGAUUCGCCAGAAAUUAAUCGCAAAACUAUUACCGAGUUAACACACAGGAUUGUGCUUUCAAGGAAACUUUUUGAACGUUACGUAAUACAAAAAGAAAAUUGUCCCGUUCCUUUAUUGGGAUAAAUCGAUUUUAAAAUCGUAACUGGAAAGCUUCAUUUUUUCUUUCACGAUCGAUGGAUAAUAGCACACAAGUCACGUUUCGCGGAAAACCUUUACGAUGUGAACACGAAGUUAGUAAGGAGGAAGAGGAAGAGGAAGAAGAGGUGGUGGAGAAGGUGGAGAAGGAGGAAGGUCGAAACGAUUCAGCAACUCGAGGGAUAUAUUAUCAGAAUGAAAUGAAAAAUCUGCAAUCAUAAAUAUAUCGCGAAUAUAUUUUUCCAAGAAUCAACUGUACACGCGAUGCGGGCUUUUGAUCCUGUGUUUCUUUCGUUGUAGUGGUUCGAUCGAAAAGAUACUAGAAUUUCUAGUGAUUUAUAAUAACAUAUCCCUAGAAUCUUUAUUAUAUGAAACUAAUGAAAUACGAAAUUUGGAAAUUUUGAAUCCCUGCCUUUUAAGUCAUCUUUUGUUUAUACAAUAAUGAACGUAAUUGUCCGUUUUUAUCUCUUACUGCACUUUGGAAACAAAUAAUUUGUUAAUCAUGCUGAUCUGUCGACUUUGAACGUAUAAUAAUGAAACUUAUCAUCAAGGGUUAUAGUUCGUAAAAAUCUACUUGACCCGGGGAGAAGUUUGUUGAAAAAUUAAAGGCUUUACCUCGGUCAGUGUUAAAAGUGCGAGUAUAUUAUCAGUGAAAUGUAAGAAGAAGUAUCGACGUGUAAUGAAAUAUCAUGAUACAAUAACUAGAACAAACCUAUAGUUAUUUCGUAUGGUGUAUAAUAUAUCAAAGGUCAUCUAAACGGGCAUAUUAAUGAAACGCUAAUGAUAAUGUCAAGGUAUUAUCAUUAAAAUGGCAAUGCAGAAGGUGUCACAGGUGUCUCGAUGAAACGAAUGAAAUAAUUGUGUGUGAAUAAGAGGAUUAUAAAACACAUAAGAAGAUUAUUUAAGGAUAAACGAUUAAUACUCACAAUAAUGUUGUUACC